AUGCUUUUGAGGCUCAUCCAUGUUAGCCAAGGGUUGGUUCCUCUGUUUUGCUUAAGAAUUGCCUAUUCCAAGUCAAGUAAGAUGCUUAGAGACACAAUCUUUUUUACUGUGAACGAUACACAGAAUAUAACAAUUGCCAUCAUUUUACACAUUCCAGUCCAGGUCAUCGCGUCUUGCUAUCCUGCAGAUCCUCAACUCGCCCCACCAGCCCGGAGCCACCAUCAAGCUCAGUGGACAGAAGCUCAGCCCUGCUGUCUUUUCUCAAAACCCCACGUGCCCCACCCCACCCUAAGCAGGACUCCACCAAUGGAUGCCUCAGGACGGCAGCUAAAUGAAAGGGCUCCUGUGCCAGGAGUUGAGGCAAGAGUACUGGACUGGGAUGCCAUUGCCUUCUGCGACAGGUGAGGUCUGGUGGUCUCUAAAUCUGUCUCCAAAAGACAGACCAUCCAAGGAGAGACCUUGAAUUACAGCUGUAAUCAGCUAAUUAUAAUGAGGUAUGUUGGUUAAGUCCAAAGAGGGAGCAAGUGUGUCCCGGUGGCAGAGGGUGAAGACUGCCCCCAUCUGUUUCCCCACUUCCUGCUGCCCAGGGGCCCAGACAACUUAUGUUCCGAGAAUGUCUUCUUUUGGCUCGGGUAUCUGGAAGGAGGCCUGCCAUUUGUUUCUCAAGGAGGGUGCAGUCAUGAAGUCUCUUUAGUCAAUUGAAAAUGAAAAUCCUGCUACCUACUGAAGUGGCAGAUGGGGUGAGGGUGAGACAGGGCCCCUCAGCUCCUGGUCCCAGAAAGAGGGCAGAGGGGAAGACAGAGACCUGUGAUGAGCCCGCGCGCACGGUGUUCCUUUCACUGCUCACUGAGGCGGCAUCACAGUUUGAGUUCCUUCCUCAGCCUGGUCCAGUGUCCUCACAGAUCUCACAGGCUGGAGCGGUAAUCAAGCACGGUCAGAGCCCUGGGGAGUUUCAGAUGAGCCCAGAUGCACCACGAAGCAGCGGUGGCCAUCAGCAGGUCUUCAUGGAGUGGGCAACUUCUGAACUGGGUCUAAGGGUGAGUUAGGUAUCUAGGCAAAGAUCGGCAUGGGUGCAAAACAAAUCACAAGGUGAGUGAAUGAACGGGGUGUCCCUCUAACAUAGGGAGGCAGCCCACCAGGAGGGGAGCCUGAGGUCACAGGCCCCCCUGGGAGGCCUGCGGGCAGGGGCUGCAGUGUGCCGCCUGCCUCACCCACCGUGUGAAUGAACGGGG
rnacentral:lncRNA from 1 species